rnacentral:rRNA from 1 species
UACGGAGGGAGCUAGCGUUGUUCGGAAUCACUGGGCGUAAAGCGUGCGUAGGCUGUUUCGCAAGUUGGAAGUGAAAGCCCAGGGCUCAACCCUGGAACUGCUUUCAAAACUGCGAGACUCGAAUUCGGGAGAGGAUAGCGGAAUUCCCAGUGUAGUAGUGAAAUACGUAGAUAUUGGGAGGAACACCAGUGGCGCAAGCGGCUAUCUGGACCGACAUUGACGCUGAGGCACGAAAGCGUGGGGAUCAAACAGG